rnacentral:rRNA from 1 species
AGAGUUUGAUCCUGGCUCAGAACGAACGCUGGCGGCAUGCCUAACACAUGCAAGUCGAACGAUGCUUUCGGGCAUAGUGGCGCACGGGUGCGUAACGCGUGGGAAUCUGCCCUUUGGUCUGGGAUAACUGUUGGAAACGACAGCUAAUACCGGAUGAUGACGUAAGUCCAAAGAUUUAUCGCCAGAGGAUGAGCCCGCGUCGGAUUAGCUAGUUGGUGGGGUAAAGGCCUACCAAGGCGACGAUCCGUAGCUGGUCUGAGAGGAUGAUCAGCCACACUGGGACUGAGACACGGCCCAGACUCCUACGGGAGGCAGCAGUGGGGAAUAUUGGACAAUGGGCGAAAGCCUGAUCCAGCAAUGCCGCGCGAGUGAUGAAGGCCUUAGGGUUGUAAAGCUCUUUUACCCGGGAUGAUAAUGACAGUACCGGGAGAAUAAGCUCCGGCUAACUCCGUG